rnacentral:ncRNA from 1 species
UGAGGAAGGGCGUAGCAAGCGACGAAAUGCUUCGGGGAGUUGAAAAUAAGCAUAGAUCCGGAGAUUCCCAAAUAGGUCAACCUUUUAAACUACCUGCUGAAUCCAUGAGCAGGCAAGA